AGUGAACGCUGGCGGUAGGCCUAACACAUGCAAGUCGAACGGCAGCACAGGAGAGCUUGCUCUCUGGGUGGCGAGUGGCGGACGGGUGAGGAAUACAUCGGAAUCUACUUUUUCGUGGGGGAUAACGUAGGGAAACUUACGCUAAUACCGCAUACGACCUACGGGUGAAAGCAGGGGACCUUCGGGCCUUGCGCGAUUGGAUGAGCCGAUGUCGGAUUAGCUAGUUGGCGGGGUAAAGGCCACCAAGGCGACGAUCCGUAGCUGGUCUGAGAGGAUGAUCAGCCACACUGGAACUGAGACACGGUCCAGACUCCUACGGGAGGCAGCAGUGGGGAAUAUUGGACAAUGGGCGCAAGCCUGAUCCAGCCAUACCGCGUGGGUGAAGAAGGCCUUCGGGUUGUAAAGCCCUCUUGUUGGGAAAGAAAUCCAGCUGGCUAAUACCCGGUUGGGAUGACGGUACCCAAAGAAUAAGCACCGGCUAACUUCGUGCCAGCCGCCGCAGUAA
rnacentral:rRNA from 1 species